AUUGAACGCUGGCGGCAUGCUUUACACAUGCAAGUCGAACGGUAACAGGCCGCAAGGUGCUGACGAGUGGCGAACGGGUGAGUAAUGCAUCGGAACGUGCCCAGUCGUGGGGGAUAACGCAGCGAAAGCUGUGCUAAUACCGCAUACGAUCUAUGGAUGAAAGCGGGGGACCGUAAGGCCUCGCGCGAUUGGAGCGGCCGAUGUCAGAUUAGGUAGUUGGUGGGGGAAAGGGUCACCAAGCCAACGAUCUGUAGCUGGUCUGAGAGGACGACCCGCCACACUGGGACUGGGGCACGGCCCAGACUCCUACGGGAGGCAGCAGUGGGGAAUUUUGGACAAUGGGCGCAAGCCUGAUCCAGCAAUGCCGCGUGCAGGAAGAAGGCCUUCGGGUUGUAAACUGCUUUUGUACGGAACGAAAAGGUUUGGGUUAAUACCCUGGGCCGAUGACGGUACCGUAAGAAUAAGCACCGGCUAACUACGUGCCAGCAGCCGCGGUAA
rnacentral:rRNA from 1 species